rnacentral:rRNA from 1 species
AUUGAACGCUGGCGGCAUGCUUUACACAUGCAAGUCGAACGGCAGCGCGGGGGCAACCCUGGCGGCGAGUGGCGAACGGGUGAGUAAUGCAUCGGAACGUAUCCUGUAAUGGGGGAUAACGUAGCGAAAGUUACGCUAAUACCGCAUACGCUCGAGAGAGGAAAGUGGGGGAUCGCAAGACCUCACGUUAUAGGAGCGGCCGAUGUCCGAUUAGCUAGUUGGUGGGGUAAAGGCCUACCAAGGCGACGAUCGGUAGCUGGUCUGAGAGGAUGAUCAGCCACACUGGGACUGAGACACGGCCCAGACUCCUACGGGAGGCAGCAGUGGGGAAUUUUGGACAAUGGGCGAAAGCCUGAUCCAGCCAUGCCGCGUGCGGGAAGAAGGCCUUCGGGUACUAAACCGCUUUAGUCCGGGAAAAAGGGGUGCGAGGAUAAUACCCUUGUGCUUUGAUGGUACUGGAAGAAUAAGCACCGGCUAACUACGUGCCAGCAGCCGCGGUAAUACGUAGGGUGCGAGCGUUAAUCGGAAUUACUGGGCGUAAAGCGUGCGCAGGCGGUCUUGUAAGACAGUCGUGAAAGCCCCGGGCUUAACCUGGGAACUGCGAUUGUGACUGCAAGGCUAGAGUGUGUCAGAGGGGGGUGGAAUUCCACGUGUAGCAGUGAAAUGCGUAGAGAUGUGGAGGAACACCGAUGGCGAAGGCAGCCCCCUGGGAUAACACUGACGCUCAUGCACGAAAGCGUGGGGAGC